AUUGAACGCUGGCGGCAUGCCUUACACAUGCAAGUCGAACGGCAGCGGGCCUUCGGGUGCCGGCGAGUGGCGAACGGGUGAGUAAUGCAUUGGAACGUGCCAGUUGAGUGGGGGAUAAACGUAGCGAAAGUUGCGCUAAUACCGCAUAUUCUGUGAGCGAGGAAAGCAGGGGGACCGCAAGGCCUUGCGCUCUUUGAGCGGCCGAUGUCAGAUUAGCUAGUUGGUGNGGUAAAGGCUUACCAAGGCGACGAUCUGUAGCGGGUCUGAGAGGAUGAUCCGCCACACUGGAACUGAGACACGGUCCAGACUCCUACGGGAGGCAGC
rnacentral:rRNA from 1 species